UUUCAAUAAGCAUCUGUGCUGUCGUCGUCUUCUUCUUCUUCUUCUCCUCUCUGGCUUAGCCUAAGGAUUCUAGUAAGUAUUUCAAACUCCUAAAGUCUUAGUUUUAUCUAGAAAUCAAUGUUGUAUCGCAAUAGAUUGUGCCCUAGAAAGCUUUGUACACUUACCAGAAACCUCAGCUCUAGGAUUCCAUUGCAUGCUUUCAAUGUACAAAACUCUAAUUGCUCGACAAAUUUAGUAAUUGACACUU
rnacentral:misc_RNA from 1 species